GGUCACAGGCGCAGUUCAGAUCUGGUGUUGCUGUGACUGUGGUGUAGGCUGGCAGCGGCAGCUCCCAGUGGACCCCUAGCCUGGGCACUUCCAUAUGUCGUGAGUGCCAACCUAAAAAAAGAGAGAAAGAGAGAAAUAGAUAGGCAUAAUUGGCUCUUAUAAACCAUUAUAAAUUGCUCCAGCACACCAUUGCUUAGGUCCAUAAAACAGAAUAGUAUGGAUGAAUGUAUUAGGUUGACUUUCUCUGUGAUUAAGACAUCUAAGCAGCCUGAAAGUUCAGGAUCAACAAGGAGGAAUAACCAAAAGGAUGGGGGAGGGCAGGAUGAAAGCAGAAGAGAAAGCUGGAAGGUAGGACCUAGUCAGCUGUCACUCAUACAGUGCAUGUUUUUAAGUAGCUAUUACUUGUGAGCUUCUUGGGCAGGUAUUUGAUUGGGAGUUGAUGGCUCUGCAUACAGGUGGCAAUAGAGUACUUCCUUUCCUUCAACUAGUUUAUAGUCUGGAUUUGCCCAGAGCUGACCACUGAAUCUUGGACAGUGCUGCUGGUGAUGGAAGAGGACCCCAAGCCACAUUUUCAUACUGUUGAAACACUUCCUUUAUAGCAAUAGGAAACCUUGGUGGACUGGGUUGCUGUCUUGUCUAGUGAUCAGAUAAUCAUUAACAGCAGAAGACUGCUGUGCUGUUAGUGCUUAAGGGAAAAGAGCAUUGAUCAAUAUUGACGUCUUAAGAGGAAAAGUAAAACCUCCCAAAUGUCAUCCCACCACUCAUUCAUAAAUAUUCUGUUGCCAUAUUGCAAUUGAUCAUUCUGUGCAAAUGUCUUUGGGCCAAAUAGCCCUGUGUUGGGGGAAAACACACAUCAGGCCAGCUAUUCAAGAUGAUUUGAGGAAACUUUUUCCAAAAUUCCUGCCUUGAAUCAUUAAAAAAAAAAAAAAAAAAAAAAAAAAAAAAGCUGAAACUGGCUGGUUAAAUGAUGGUGCAUUGUAAUAUCUGCUGCUGGAAGAAGGCAAGAAGUGUUAUUUACAGGCAGUGCCAGGUAACUAGACUAUAUAUUCAUUCAUUCAUUUACUCAUUCAUUUGUCAGAUAUUUAUUGAGGGUAUUCUGCCAGGCCCUGCAGCAGAAACUAGAGCUACACAGAGAACUAGGGAUGCAUUCACUCCCCUCAUUAUGUUUAAAAUCAACGGGAGACUAUCAGGCAGGAAAAAGUCAGUAAGCUGAUGAUUACCAACUGCAGAGGUAUAAGAAGAAAACAAACAAGGAGCUGUGAUAAAGCAAAACACUGGAAAUCUAGUCUUAGAUGAGGCAUUCAGGAAAGCCUUAAGGAGAUUACAUUUCAGUCUCAGCAUGGAAAAGGAAGCAGCCAGGCAAAGUUUGGGGCAAAGAGUAUGGGGGACUCAGGAGAGCAAACUGAAGAGACUUCUAGGCAGAGGACAUAGCAUGUGCACAGACCUAAAUGCAGCAGAGAGCUUGGUGGGUUCAAGGGCCAAAAUAAGACCAGACACAUCUGUAAAUACAGAAGAAAGUAGAUUAGUGUUUCCUUGGUCUGGGAAGGUGGGGGGAAAUGGGCAGUGAUGGUUAAUGGGCACAGGAUUUGGGGUGGGUGCUAAAAUGUUCUAAUAUUGAUUGUGGUCACAGUUGCACAACUGUGUGAAUGUGUUGAAAACCAUUAAAUUGUACACAUUUUUUAAAUGAAUUAAUUUAUUUUUUGCUUUCUAGGGCUGCACUCGUAGCAUAUGGAAGUUCCCAUGCUGGGGGUUGAAUAGAAACUACAGCUGCUGGCCUACACCACAGCCACAGCAAUGCCAGAUUUGAGCCACAUCUUCAAGCUGUAGCAGAGCUCAUGGCAACGCCGGAUCCUUAACCCACUGAGCAAGGCCAGGGAUCAAACCUGCAUUCUCAUGGUUACUAGUUGGGUUCUUUCCUGCCAUGCCACAGCAAUAGCUCCUUAAAUUGUAACUUUAAAUGAGUGAAUAUAUGAUAUGUGAAUUACAACUCAGUUAAGCUGGUUUUAAAGCAAAUCUAAAUAUUUGCAGUCUAGGGAGCUGGAGUGGGUGAGAGUAAGACAAAGUUGGAAGUUCUCAGGCAGGCACAUGGCAGUUGGGGCCUGUGGGCUGGUACCAGAGAGUUUACUGUGGGUCAAGAGAAAUCAUCACAUGGGUGGCUGUGUGGCUGUGGGGUGGGAUGGGAAGGCAAGGGUGGAAAGACAGAACAUAUAGAGAAUAUUGCAACAAUGUAGAUGAAAAAUGUGGUUAAGACUAGGUGACAGAAGCAGGUGUGGAGAGAAGUGGGGACUCAAGACACAUUUCAGAGGGUAUCCACAACUGACAGGAAUUAAUGAAGAAUUAAAUGUGGGAAAUGGGGAGAAAUGACACAUCAAGGAAAAUUCCGUCUCACCUGUGCCCUUUCCUAACUG
rnacentral:lncRNA from 1 species